GAGGGGAAGCGGAGAGCAGGAAUGGCAGGAGAGCGGUGAGAGACCUCCGUCCCAGUGAGGAUGACAUGUUCUAACUCAGGAAAUGAAUAGAUGCUCUUGCGAUUGAAGAAAAAUCUACGCUGGAGGCAGACAGGCUGGCAGGCUCUUCUAGGGAAAAUUUGCGUCUGUGGCCUUAGUCCAGAACACACCCUAGUCUUCUCUGGAGGGAAACACAGUCAGGGAAGGAAGAGAUUUUGUAAUGUGGACAGUGUUCGGUGUUCAUCGCUGAGGAAUCUGAGUGUCAGUUUGCAUUCAUCAUGGGCGGAGGGCCCCACAGCUGGCGGAAGGCCAGCUGCAGUGUAAAGAUAAGGAGACUGAAGCAUCUAGAGUUGGAGUAAUUUCCACAAGAUCACAGAGGCAAGAUUUCACUCUGUCACCCAGACUGGAGUGCAGUGGCACAAACAUAGCUCACUGAAGCCUCAAACUCCUGGGCUCAAGAGAUCCUUCUGCUUCAGCCUCCUGAGUAGCUGGGACUUCAGAAUCCCAGUCCUCUCUCUCUCACUGACCCCGAAGAUAAGCAUUGGAAAGGGGAGCUUUGGGGAAAUGAAUCUGCCCUGUCAUCUGCGUAUAGAGCUAAUCUUAAAUCCCAACUGCCAAAUGGAUCCUGAGGUGUCAGAAACUCUCCCGAGAUAAGGGGGCUUCUAGCAACCAUCUGCAUUCUGGACCCAGGUAUGUUGUGUUUGUAAUCUCAUUCACUCACUCGUUCAUUCUUCCAUGCCUCCCCUGAUCCCCUUCCUGAAGUAAGAGCCUUCUGUUGAUGUCGAUGAAAGAACCCUGUUUAUUUUCUUCAACUGAGAGUCUAACACACUGUGCCCUGGGCAAGGUUGAGAAUCAGCCAAAGCUUGUCUUCUUUGUCCAAUAUAAUCUAAUAAAUGGGUGUGUAACCACUUG
ensembl:lncRNA LINC00970 long intergenic non-protein coding RNA 970